GUUUUAAGGGCAUCACACCAACAUUUGCAAUUGGACUUGCUGCUAUGUUUGCAACCUACUACAUUUUCAGCCUUCAGUAUCAAGAUGAGACAGCCUGCCCUGUGGAAUUCAAAAUUAAUGUGUUUGCGCUUCAUUGAUAUAAAUCCAGAGAGAGGGACAAAUGCCAAAAUCAUCAAGCAAGGUUGUCUCUAAGAAGAAAGGUGUGAUGGUCCAGAAGUCGUCUUCUGCAGUCAAAUACACAUGUGGCCAUGCUACUGAAGAAUCUCCUUGACUUUUUAAUGGAACUUCAUAUAGAUCUUGGCAGCACUGGAAUAAUGCUGCAGAGAGGAACAGCGGCUAUCAAAGUGAUGAUCGUCUCUUCAUCCACAAGAACUAAGAUGUAAAAACACAAACCUACCUCACAGGACAAUUUUAAGAGGUAACCUGCAAGUCUAGCUUGCAGUGGCACAGGUGCCUACCCUACGGUUUCAUCCUAAAUGUUUUUAUGCAUGUUAUUGAUACAUCCUGACAAAAUGUUCUACUGUACUAUAAUAGUUUCAAAAUGGCCUUAGGUAUGUUUUCAAACUUAUGUCUUAAAUAAAAAAGUAAACUAUAGGUUAUGCCCUUCACAUUUGGUAAGGAUUAGGGGCAGUCUCUGACGAGCAAUUUAAGAAUGUUAAGUUUAUUGCCAUAGUCUAAAGCAGGAGUGGGGACCCCUGGGUCCUGGAGGGCCACUGUCCACCAGAGUUUAGUUCCAACCCUAAUCAAACACACCGGAAUUUAAUU